CAAUCGCCGCGGUAAAACGGAGGGGGCUAGCGUUGUUCGGAAUUACUGGGCGUAAAGCGCACGUAGGCGGCUUGGUAAGUUAGAGGUGAAAGCCUGGAGCUCAACUCCAGAAUUGCCUUUAAGACUGCCGAGCUAGCAGGUGAGAGAGGUAAGUGGAAUUCCGAGUGUAGAGGUGAAAUUCGUAGAUAUUCGGAAGAACACCAGUGGCGAAGGCGGCUUACUGGCUCAUACUGGACGCUGAGGUGCGAAAGCGUGGGGAGCAAACAGGAUUAGAUACCCCCGUAGUCCCUGUCUCUUAUAC
rnacentral:rRNA from 1 species